rnacentral:rRNA from 1 species
UGGGGAAUAUUGCACAAUGGGCGCAAGCCUGAUGCAGCCAUGCCGCGUGUAUGAAGAAGGCCUUCGGGUUGUAAAGUACUUUCAGUCGGGAGGAAGGUGUCAAGGUUAAUAACCUUGGCAAUUGACGUUACCGACAGAAGAAGCACCGGCUAACUCCGUGCCAGCAGCCGCGGUGAUACGGAGGGUGCAAGCGUUAAUCGGAAUUACUGAGCGUAAAGCGCACGCAGGCGGUUGAUUGAGUCAGAUGUGAAAUCCCCGGGCUUAACCCGGGAAUUGCAUCUGAUACUGGUCAGCUAGAGUCUUGUAGAGGGGGGUAGAAUUCCAUGUGUAGCGGUGAAAUGCGUAGAGAUGUGGAGGAAUACCGGUGGCGAAGGCGGCCCCCUGGACAAAGACUGACGCUCAGGUGCGAAAGCGUGGGGAGCGAACAGG